GAUGAACGCUGGCGGCGUGCCUAAUACAUGCAAGUCGAGCGAAUGGAUUGAGAGCUUGCUCUUAUGAAGUUAGCGGCGGACGGGUGAGUAACACGUGGGUAACCUGCCCAUAAGACUGGGAUAACUCCGGGAAACCGGGGCUAAUACCGGAUAACAUUUUGAACCGCAUGGUUCGAAAUUGAAAGGCGGCUUCGGCUGUCACUUAUGGAUGGACCCGCGUCGCAUUAGGUAGUUGGUGAGGUAACGGCUCACCAAGGCAACGAUGCGUAGCCGACCUGAGAGGGUGAUCGGCCACACUGGGACUGAGACACGGCCCAGACGCCUACGGGAGGCAGCAGUAGGGAAUCUUCCGCAAUGGACGAAAGUCUGACGGAGCAACGCCGCGUGAGUGAUGAAGGCUUUCGGGUCGUAAAACUCUGUUGUUAGGGAAGAACAAGUGCUAGUUGAAUAAGCUGGCACCUUGACGGUACCUAACCAGAAAGCCACGGCUAACUACGUGCCAGCAGCCGCCGUAA
rnacentral:rRNA from 1 species